CCUACGGGUGGCAGCAGUGGGGAAUAUUGGACAAUGGGGGCAACCCUGAUCCAGCCAUGCCGCGUGUGUGAAGAAGGCCCUCGGGUUGUAAAGCACUUUCAGUGAGGAAGAACGCCUGGUGGUUAAUACCCAUCAGGAAAGACAUCACUCACAGAAGAAGCACCGGCUAACUCCGUGCCAGCAGCCGCGGUAAUACGGAGGGUGCGAGCGUUAAUCGGAAUUACUGGGCGUAAAGCGCGCGUAGGUGGCUUGAUAAGCCGGUUGUGAAAGCCCCGGGCUCAACCUGGGAAUGGCAUCCGGAACUGUCAAGCUAGAGUGCAGGAGAGGAAGGUAGAAUUCCCGGUGUAGCGGUGAAAUGCGUAGAGAUCGGGAGGAAUACCAGUGGCGAAGGCGGCCUUCUGGACUGACACUGACACUGAGGUGCGAAAGCGUGGGUAGCAAACAGGAUUAGAUACCCUGGUAGUC
rnacentral:rRNA from 1 species